rnacentral:rRNA from 1 species
AUUGAACGCUGGCGGCAUGCUUUACACAUGCAAGUCGAACGGCAGCAUGGGUGCUUGCACCUGAUGGCGAGUGGCGAACGGGUGAGUAAUGUAUCGGAACAUAUCCGCAAGUGGGGGAUAACGUAGCGAAAGUUACGCUAAUACCGCAUAUUCCCUGAGGGGGAAAGGAGGGGAUCCGCAAGGACCUUUCGCUUACGGAGUGGCCGAUAUCAGAUUAGCUAGUUGGUGAGGUAAAGGCUCACCAAGGCGACGAUCUGUAGCGGGUCUGAGAGGAUGAUCCGCCACACUGGGACUGAGACACGGCCCAGACUCCUACGGGAGGCAGCAGUGGGGAAUUUUGGACAAUGGGCGCAAGCCUGAUCCAGCCAUGCCGCGUGAGUGAAGAAGGCCUUCGGGUUGUAAAGCUCUUUCAGCUGGAAAAAAAUCGCUUCACCUAAUACGUGGAGUGGAUGAUGGUACCAGCAGAAGAAGCACCGGCUAACUACGUGCCAGCCGCCGCGGUAAUAC